rnacentral:rRNA from 1 species
GAUGAACGCUGGCGGCGUGCCUAAUACAUGCAAGUCGAGCGAACGGACGAGAAGCUUGCUUCUCUGAUGUUAGCGGCGGACGGGUGAGUAACACGUGGAUAACCUACCUAUAAGACUGGGAUAACCUCGGGAACCCGUAGCUAAUACCGGAUAAUAUUUUGAACCGCAUGGUUCAAAAGUGAAAGACGGUCUUGCUGUCACUUAUAGAUGGAUCCGCGCUGCAUUAGCUAGUUGGUAAGGUAACGGCUUACCAAGGCAACGAUGCAUAGCCGACCUGAGAGGGUGAUCGGCCACACUGGAACUGAGACACGGUCCAGACUCCUACGGGAGGCAGCAGUAGGGAAUCUUCCGCAAUGGGCGAAAGCCUGACGGAGCAACGCCGCGUGAGUGAUGAAGGUCUUCGGAUCGUAAAACUCUGUUAUUAGGGAAGAACAUAUGUGUAAGUAACUGUGCACAUCUUGACGGUACCUAAUCAGAAAGCCACGGCUAACUACGUG